rnacentral:rRNA from 1 species
UUCGGGCCUUGCGCUAUCAGAUGAGCCUAGGUCGGAUUAGCUAGUUGGUGAGGUAAUGGCUCACCAAGGCGACGAUCCGUAACUGGUCUGAGAGGAUGAUCAGUCACACUGGAACUGAGACACGGUCCAGACUCCUACGGGAGGCAGCAGUGGGGAAUAUUGGACAAUGGGCGAAAGCUGAUCCAGCCAUGCCGCGUGUGUGAAGAAGGUCUUCGGAUUGUAAAGCACUUUAAGUUGGGAGGAAGGGUUGUAGAUUAAUACUCUGCAAUUUUGACGUUACCGACAGAAUAAGCACCGGCUAACUCUGUGCCAGCAGCCGCGGUAAUACAGAGGGUGCAAGCGUUAAUCGGAAUUACUGGGCGUAAAGCGCGCGUAGGUGGUUUGUUAAGUUGGAUGUGAAAUCCCCGGGCUCAACCUGGGAACUGCAUUCAAAACUGACUGACUAGAGUAUGGUAGAGGGUGGUGGAAUUUCCUGUGUAGCGGUGAAAUGCGUAGAUAUAGGAAGGAACACCAGUGGCGAAGGCGACCACCUGGACUAAUACUGACACUGAGGUGCGAAGCGUGGGGGAGCAAACAGGAUUAGAUACCCUGGUAGUCCACGCCGUAAACGAUGUCAACUAGCCGUUGGAAGCCUUGAGCUUUUAGUGGCGCACUAAACGCAUUAAGUUGACC